GGCAUCCCUGAGCGCUCUCUUCAUUUUUCUUCAUCUCCUACUGCUAUGUGACACACAUCAGAAGGGUGUGCAGAAGAAUGUGAGAGAAGCACAUCUAUCC
ensembl:miRNA gga-mir-1570 gga-mir-1570